rnacentral:rRNA from 1 species
UACGUAGGGUGCGAGCGUUGUCCGGAAUUAUUGGGCGUAAAGAGCUCGUAGGCGGUCUGUCGCGUCUGCUGUGAAAUCCCGAGGCUCAACCUCGGGCUUGCAGUGGGUACGGGCAGACUGGAGGUAUGCAGGGGAGAACGGAAUUCCUGGUGUAGCGGUGGAAUGCGCAGAUAUCAGGAGGAACACCGAUGGCGAAGGCAGGUCUCUGGGCCACUACUGACGCUGAGAAGCGAAAGCAUGGGGAGCGAACAGG